rnacentral:rRNA from 1 species
CCUACGGGAGGCAGCAGCGAGGAAUUUUGGGCAAUGGGCGAAAGCCUGACCCAGCAACGCCGCGUGGGGGAUGAAGGCCUUCGGGUUGUAAACCCCUUUUGCCAGGGACGAUGAUGACGGUACCUGGCGAAUAAGCCUCGGCUAACUACGUGCCAGCAGCCGCGGUAAUACGUAGGAGGCGAGCGUUGUCCGGAUUUAUUGGGCGUAAAGCGCGUGCAGGCGGGAGGGCAAGUCUCCUGUGAAAUCUCCGGGCUCAACUGGGAGGGGUCAGGGGAUACUGCCCUUCUGGAGGGUAGCAGAGGGAAGCGAAAUUCCCGGUGGAGGGGUGAAAUGCGUAGAUAUCGGGAGGAACACCAGUGGCGAAGGCGGCUCCCUGGGCUGUUCCUGACGCUGAGACGCGAAAGCGUGGGGAGCAAACCGGAUUAGAUCCCCCUGUAGU